rnacentral:misc_RNA from 1 species
AAGUCGUAACAAGGUUUCCGUAGGUGAACCUGCGGAAGGAUCAUUAAAAAUGAAGCCGGGAAACCGGUCCUUCUCACCCUUGAUUAUCUCAAUUUGUUGCUUUGGCGGGCCGCGCAAGCACCGGCUUCGGCUGGAUCGUGCCCGCCAGAGGACCACAACUCUGUAUUAUAUGUCGUCUGAGUACUAUAAAAUAGUUAAAACUUUCAACAACGGAUCUCUUGGUUCUGGC